UGCAGAAGCUCUCUGGUUCAGUUUAAUUAAGUAAAAACAAAAAAUAUAUACAAUGAAAGGUGCAUUUGAAGGAACUGAAAAAGUGCUAUUUAUUUUACAAGAUGUUUAAGAAGAAGCAAUGAAAAUAUGAAAUUUCAUACAAGGCAACUCAUGGCAGUCCGAGAGGAAGAAUGAAAUGCAGGGGAUGAAAUUCACCCUCCUAUGAAGAAACCCCUACCCACGCUAAAGUGUUCUGAUGCCUGGAAAAAAUCUGCAUCAGUUCCAUUGGGACUUCAUCUCCUCCUGACUGAUCGUGCUGGGGGCUCUGCCUGUCUCCAGCACUCCAGACCUUCAGCUGCCACCAUCUCCUGGGAACCCCAACUGGUUCAACCUUCACGAGUUUUUUAACACAGGAUACAGCAUGACUGGCUGACAAUCUUUAAAAAACUGCUGAGAAGAUUCAGAAGUUGCCUGAACUGUAAAGAAAAUCUUGGAACUAACAACAAAGAAGAAUUGCAAAGAAAGACUAACUUCAGAGUCUGCUAUCUGGCCCCUGUUGUGCAGGUUGUUCUAUAGAUGCCAUCGUUCUGAGGCUGUUUGAAUGGAAGAAUGUCUGAAUGGUUUGUUAGCACAACAAAACAUCAUUGCAGUUUUUAAUUAUCAUUGUAAUUUUCAAGAAGUAAGAGGUGGUUGCUUUAUGGGCUUCACAUGCAGCUCAGAAGAGGCUCUAAAAGCAGCUGCAUUUGUCCAUAGUAUACCUCUAGUUUUUUGAGAUGUAUCUCAGAUUCUGUAUGUACUUCUCAAAAAGCCUGUGAUAAAGGAUUCAUGCACCACAGCUGGGGUAAUAAAGACACAAAUUUAGCAUAAAGUAGAUUCAGGCUGUCUCUCAACACAUGCAUGCUAGGUGAAACCAAUGACUGUGGAAUCUUUUAGAUUUCCAUUGAACAAUGUUGAAAGAGGCCACUGCGUGCUUCUUAGCCCUGGUCUACACUACAAGUUUAGGUCAGAUAUAGCAGCAUUAGAUCCGUUUAGCCCUGCACCCAUCCACACUACGAAGCCAUUUUUUCCGAUUUUAAGGGCUCUUACCGGUUUCCAUACUCCUCCCCGAUGAGU